rnacentral:rRNA from 1 species
UCGAGCGCCUCGCAAGAGGAGCGGCAGACGGGUGAGUAACGCGUGGGAAUCUACCCAUCUCUACGGAACAACUCCGGGAAACUGGAGCUAAUACCGUAUACGUCCUUCGGGAGAAAGAUUUAUCGGAGAUGGAUGAGCCCGCGUUGGAUUAGCUAGUUGGUGGGGUAAUGGCCUACCGAGGCGACGAUCCAUAGCUGGUCUGAGAGGAUGAUCAGCCACACUGGGACUGAGACACGGCCCAGACUCCUACGGGAGGCAGCAGUGGGGAAUAUUGGACAAUGGGCGCAAGCCUGAUCCAGCCAUGCCGCGUGAGUGAUGAAGGCCCUAGGGUUGUAAAGCUCUUUCAACGGUGAAGAUAAUGACGGUAACCGUAGAANNNGCCCCGGCUAACUUCGUGCCAGCAGCCGCG